rnacentral:rRNA from 1 species
GAUGAACGCUAGCGGGAGGCUUAACACAUGCAAGUCGAGGGGCAGCAUAGGGUAGCAAUACUCUGAUGGCGACCGGCAAACGGGUGAGUAACGCGUAUGCAACCUACCCUGUACAGGGGGAUAACCCGGAGAAAUUCGGACUAAUAUCCCGUAAUAAUAUCCGGAGGCAUCUUUGGAUAUUUAAAGUUCCGACGGUACGGGAUGGGCAUGCGUAACAUUAACUGGUUGGUAAGGUAACGGCUUACCGAGGCUAUGAUGUUUAGGGGUCCUGAGAGGGUGGUCCCCCACACUGGUACUGAGACACGGACCAGACUCCUACGGGAGGCAGCAGUGAGGAAUAUUGGUCAAUGGGCGCAAGCCUGAACCAGCCAUCCCGCGUGCAGGAAGACGGCCCUAUGGGUUGUAAACUGCUUUUCCAGGGAGAGAAACUUACGCACGUGUUGCGUGACUGACGGUACCCUGGGAAUAAGCAUCGGCUAACUCCGUG